ensembl:snRNA
ACCACCCUUCUCGUGGGGUUGUGCUACUGUCCAGUGAGCACAUGGUGAGAGCAAUACUGCUAACGCCUACGCAACACACCCACAUCAACUACAGUGGUGCAAUUUUUUGAAAA